CAAUAGCGUAUAUUGAAGUUGUUGCGGUUAAAAAGCUCGUCGUUGGAUUUCUGUUGAGGUCGAACAGUGCCGCCCUAUGGGUGCGCAACUGGCUCGGCUUCGGCAUCUUCUUGGAGAGCGCAUCUGCACUUAACUGUGUGGAUCGUACUUCAAGUCAGUUACUUUGAGGAAUUGUGAGUGUUUCAAGCAGGCUUACGCCGUUGAAUCCGUUAGCAUGGAAUAAUAGGAUAGGACCUCGGUUCUAUUUUGUUGGUUUUGAGAGCUGGGGCAGCGAUUGAUAGGGUCGGAUGGGGGCGUCCGAACUUUACUGUCAGAGGUGAAAUUCUUAGAUCGGUCAAAGGCGAACUACUGCGAACGCAUUCGCCAAGAAUGUUUUCUUUA
rnacentral:rRNA from 1 species